rnacentral:lncRNA from 1 species
CCUCAUUCUUCGAUCCCUCCAGACGAUGGGGUGCUGCUUUAGCGUGAAGAAGACUUCUGGCCAGCGGAGUGACAGCAGCAGCCCGUCACGCUCCCCGCCCUGCGGUAGACGGAGCAAGGUGACGGCGGAGCUCAGGCAGCGCACCUCCGCAAGAACCCAGCAUGAGGAAACUGAGGUUUUUAGGAACCCAAAACACGGUGUCGAUCCCACCCUUGAGUCAGAUCCUCGUGUGGCGCUGCCCAGACUGAUCGCAGGCGGAGAGCAAAACGCUCCAGAUGGGCCACCGUCCGUUGCCUUCGUGGUGAAUGAGGCGUCGGGUGACCAGCAGAGGCCGAAGGUCGAUCCAGAACCGCAACGCGACGUUAAGGACGGCGAGGAGGUGCGUGUUGUAAAGAGGGCUCGGUACCAGGCGUUACAGACAAAGACCCACAGCUGCUGCAGCAUGUGUUCCUUUGAUGACCUUGGCCAAGGGCAGAACCAGUGUGGAGCAACAGAUGAGCCUGGUCCAUCCGCUCUGCUGCAAACCAGCGUGGUCUCAACACCUCCUCCUAAACCAGAUGCUGGUUUAUUACAAUGCCUCCUCGUGGACCAGAUGCUGGUUUUUUACACCUCCUCCUUGACCAGCUGCUGGUUUAUUACCAUACCUCCUCCUGGACCAGACGAUGGUUUAUUACCAACACCUCCUGGACCAGACUUUGAUUUCCUACCACCUCCUCCUGGACCAGACUAUGGAUUAUUACCAACACCUCCUGGACCAGAUGCUCGUCUAUUACAAUACCUCCUCGUGGACCAGAUGCUGGUUUUUUACACCUCCUCCUGGACCAGGUGCUGGUUUAAUAUAAUACCUCCUCCCGGACCAGACUAUGAUUUCUUAUCACCUCCUCCUGGACCAGACUAUGGAUUAUUACCACCUCCGCCUGGACCAGACUUUGAUUUCCUACCACCUCCUCCUGGACCAGACUCUGAUUUAUUACCACCUCCUCCUGGACCAGAGGCUGGUUUAUUACCACCUUCUCCUGGAGCAGAGGCUGGUUUAUUACCACCUCCUCCUGGACCAGAGGCUGGUUUAUUACCACCUUCUCCUGGAGCAGAGGCUGGUUUAUUACCACCUCCUCCUGGACCAGAGGCUGAUUUAUUACCACCUCCUCCUGGACCAGAGUUAGACGUGUGUCAUAAUGAGACAAGCGAUGGUCCCACUCGCUUAACUGACGCACCUGAAGACCUCGGCACCCUGAGAACUGGCCGUCAGGACGUCGGUACUCAAACUUUGCCCCCUGGUGCUUGUAGAGAUGCUUGCAGUCCAUCAUACUUGGUUCACUCCAGCCGUCUCGAGCAGCCCGUGAUGGCUGAAGGGGGCGACAGCAGGGGAAAGAUGAAGGAAGUGGUGUCAGAGCUGCGGGGAGAUGUUGCCGACCUCCCCCUCCCUGAGCCCCGUAUCAAACUGGGUCCGAUUAGCAGACGGGCCUGGGCCCGGGGCACGCUCUGGGCUGGGUUUCCAAAGACAUCAUGUUCCACAUUGUGUCAGCGACCCGGUGCGUCUUCCAGCCCCAACCAGAAACCUGCAGUGUGCAGCAAUCCAGAUGUUGGUCUGAAUAGCUGUCACCUUCCCAACAAGGAGCCCCAGCAGCUGCGGAACCGAUUCUCUGGCCAUUAUUUGCCAUGUUGUGGAUUUGUAGGACGCCUCCCUGUGUCCCAGCUGGAGAACGCGGCGGUCAAUAAUUCAUCCAGUUUGGUUGUAGGGACGGAAACCAGGUCUACUGUAUUCUGGUGGACUUUAAACACAACUUUAAGACUUCUCUUUUUUUAAAGCAUUGAAGAGCCUGUGAGUUGUUGUUCUCUAGUUUGGUUUAUUUCUGUUUUUAAUUUGACCUCCAUGAUCACAGGGUGACCUGUGUCUGUUUAAAUGUGCUGCAGCACAGACCUAAAGCUCCUCUCUGAAGUGUGUUUCUUUUAACACAGCUGCGUAAUUGAUGGUUUUAAUUCUGCUUUCUUCUAUUAAAAAGCACUGAGUAAUAUG